UACGUAGGGGGCAAGCGUUAUCCGGAUUUACUGGGUGUAAAGGGAGCGUAGACGGAAUGGCAAGUCUGAUGUGAAAGGCAGGGGCUCAACCCCUGGACUGCAUUGGAAACUGUUAAUCUAGAGUGUCGGAGAGGUAAGUGGAAUUCCUAGUGUAGCGGUGAAAUGCGUAGAUAUUAGGAGGAACACCAGUGGCGAAGGCGGCUUACUGGACGAUCACUGACGUUGAGGCUCGAAAGCGUGGGGAGCAAAC
rnacentral:rRNA from 1 species